rnacentral:rRNA from 1 species
UACAGAGGGGGCUAGCGUUAUUCGGAAUUAUUGGGCGUAAAGGGCGCGUAGGCGGCCACGCGUGUCUUUCGUGAAAUCCCUCGGCUUAACUGAGGACGUGCGGAAGAAACUGCGAGGCUUGAGUCCGGGAGAGGGGGGUGGAAUUCCUAGUGUAGCGGUGAAAUGCGUAGAGAUCGGCAGGAACACCCAGGGGGAAACCAGUCGACUGGGCAUCUACUGACGCUGAGGUGCGAGAGCGUGGGGAGCGAACCGG